rnacentral:ncRNA from 1 species
GAAUUCGCUGAGAUCGAAUGAGUAACUAAUGAUAGAUUUAACAGAGAGCUGUGACUGGUGCAAUGCAGUAUUUCUAGAGUUAGUGAAGAUGGUUCGUGAGCGAUUGAUCGGUGAAUAAUUAGCAGAUCACGGCGUUGCUACCGUUACCCAAGCUGCAAAUUUAUUACUUAUGAAUAAGUUUGUUUGAGUGCAGGAUUUUAACUUUCCUGAAUUUGGGUGGUACCGCGUAUUGAUCGUCCCUUGA